rnacentral:rRNA from 1 species
UACGGGGGGAGCAAGCGUUGUUCGGAUUUACUGGGCGUAAAGGCGCGUAGGCGGUCAGCACAAGUCAGUUGUGAAAUCUCCGGGCUUAACUCGGAAAGGUCAACUGAUACUGUGCGACUAGAGUGCGGAAGGGCAACUGGAAUUCUCGGUGGUAGCGGUGAAAUGCGUAGAUAUCGAGAGGAACACCUGCGGCGAAGGCGGGUUGCUGGGCCGACACUGACGCUGAUGCGCGAAAGCCAGGGGAGCGAACGGG